CAAACCAAAUUCACAGCACGUUUGGGGGAGGGGCUGGGUAAGUAUCACUAUAUUAAAAGAAAUGGAAAGUAGACUUCAUUAGUUCUAAACAGAACUCCAUGUUUAACUUAAAAUGUUAGUAAUUAUACAUUAUUUUUGCUUAAAACAAUGGGAUGACUUUCUAUUUCACUGCUACAGAGGAAAUGCCACACCCAGACCUAAGUCUAGUUUAUUAUAUCUGAUACCAUUUUCUUGCAUGCAGAUUUUACACAGUCCAAAUUAAUUGAUUGACUCCAGUUUUAGAAGGGUCUGUCAGGGAUCAGAAUUAUUCUGAGCUGUGUUUUCCACAAGGCCUAUGAAUCAUUUAUAUUAAUGUGGGCAGAAGAAGCAAAAGACAGAAAGCAUUGUGAAUAGAGGGAUGAAGGUUUCUGAAUUAUUUUACUGAGAACUUGUUCAAAAUGUGCCUUUGAAACUACAUGUUGCUUAUGACAAAACCACUUGGUAAGGUUUUUGAUGAUAACAAGAAGUAUGAAAUUGAAUAUUUUGCUGAUUAUAAUGAUUUGGCCCCUAUGGUGUUGGCUGUUAUUAGCUCCCCAGUAAUACCACAGGAAUGUGAAUAGAGCUUUUGAAGUUCAUGAGUAAUAUUUGCAAGGCUGAACCCUUUGACAAAUCACUUUUCUUGAUUUGUUUCCUGUGGAGACAUUUUGUUGGUCUUGAGGCCAUUUUAUUGAGUUUGCCCGUAUGAAAAUAUUUGCAAGAAAGCUUACAAAAAUUGGAAAACAGUACACCAUACUGAGUUGAAAUUAGCAAAGGUGAUGCAUAUGAAAUUGUGUUUGAAUAUUUGCUUCACUUGAAGGUCUGAAGUUCUGGACUUGCAUAUUUUUUAUGUUAAUAUGACUCAAUAAUUGGGAUAGCAACGGAGAGAUCCAUCUUUUUGACUGAUUGCCAUUUAGCUCCUUUUCUUUCAGAAUUCUCUCUCUCUCUCUAUUUGAUGCAAGUCCACCUGGCCACAGCAGAAGGAGAGGUGACACAACAAAGCCUACUUCUUAUUGGCUCAACUGGAACCACUUGCUAUUUGGCUCCUCCUCUCUCAAAACUGUCUCCUCAGUGGCCAUUCCACCUGGUCAUAAUAUUACUUGAAAGUCUUACUACCUGAAUUGGUUUGUUUUCCUGUUCUUUCCCCAUCCCUUUCCCUUUGUAUGAUUUCUUAUUAGAUUGUGGACAGGGCUUGUGUCAUUUAAAUCUUUGUACAGCAUCUAGACAAUGUUUGGGAUAACAAUAGUAAUAAUGUAUUUGUGGGCCAGUUCACACAAUAUCAAAUCUCAAAAUUCUGAAAUAAAUUUGUUGGGCCACACAUACAUCCAUAUAAUUCUUGGCUGAUGUUCUUCCACAUUGUCAUGAAAUUGUCAUGAUUCCCUGUUACAACACUGAAGAAAUAGAAAAAUGUUAUAUGAUUUAAUUGUUAGCUGACAUGAAAAUUGCUUAUUGUGACAUAAAGAUGUGAUAAAGAUAUUUCAAAUAUUGUUUUAAAAAGAGUUUGCUUUUAAUUUUUUUAAAUGAUAAUUUUAUUUAAAUAAUUUUUUAAAAAAAUUUAAAAUUGAGCUUUCUGCUCAAAAGUUAAUCACCAGUUCAUGUUAGAGGAUUCUGUACUCUACAAAAUUCAGUCUGUGAUCUCAAUGUAUAUCCUAUUCAUCAAAUGGGUUUUGUGGUAUGAGAGAGCUCUGGAUACAGAUGCUAAGAGAGCUGUAGAAGAAUGCUUGUGAAAUCUCACCACAAUCAUAUUAAUACAAUGAAGUUAAAGCCUGCAAAUAUUCUGAUUAUAUACACUGAAAUAACUGAAUAUAGUCCUGGUUGCAGCUCCAUAAGGAUCAGAGAGAAGGCCAUAAAUUGACAGAGGCAGUUUGGUCUAUAAAUAAUGUAUGCAUCAUGAACCAGUAUGCAUCCUGAUUCAGAUUCCAGUUCAAGCUUUUUUGAGGAAAAACAUUGUAGUUGGGACUUCAUAGGCGUCAUAGCAUAUGAGUACAUUUCAUGGGCGUCAUAGUAUAUGAGUACAUUUUGAUCUUUCAGCACUGCUGGUUUACAUGUAAAUCCUCAUCAGAGGAAGCUGUUAUCAGAGGAAGGGGUAAAGGUUCAUAUGAAAAUUUUAACAAACACACAUAAAGACUAUUUUCUCUUAAGAACCCCAAGUAACACCUGUGAUUACCCAGAUAGGUCACAGUUCUUACAGAAUAAAAGGUUCUGUUGGUUUCAUAAUGGUUUCACAGUUGUAUUUGCCCACAGGCAGAGUCUAAAUUAGUUGUUAGCGUCCAGUAAUGGGAUAUAGGAAUCAUGAUGGAUUGUUCCCUGAAACCAUAAGCUCAAUGUAUGUGAGCAGUUAGAAAGGCAACAAUGUUGAGAAAAAUAAUGCAGAAGGUAUCAUCAUACCCAUCUCUUCAUACCCUUAAUGAGCAGCACAGCCAUGCCUUAAGUUCAUGAACAACGCAUCUUUUUUUUAAAAGAACAGAUAUCUUAGAAACAAAAGAGGAUACACACAAAAUAUCUGGAGUGCAGGAAUCUGAAAACAGAUGGCUAAGGGAAGAAUAUGACAUCUUUACAUAGAAUCAUGAAUGUGGAUAAAUAGGGAACAGCUGUUUACUCUUUUGUGCAGAACUACAAUUAGAGGAUACCUAAUGACUUUAUUUUAUAAUUCUAGCUUUAUGGCAAGGGGUAACUGACUAUGUGUUACAUGGGCACUGUUUGAAAUCAAGGUCUUUUUUCAUGUAGUAUAACUUAUUAUGAAUCAUUUCUCUAGCAGUUUUAUUACUCUCAUACUAUUCCCCAUUUCCCUAUAUCUUGCUGAGUCCUGAGAAUCGACUGAAGGCUUCAGAUAUAAUUCCAUCUCGGGGCUUCGCAUCAGUUCCUGGAGAUUGCCUAGAAAUUCCAUACAAUUCACACAGAGUUCAUGGAAGAAGAUUAAAGUAUGACUAUACUCUCCAGUUGCAGUGUUAGGCAAACAGACAGCAGAAGUCCAUCUCAGGCCAUUUGCAGGGUCUGGGGAAGAGUCACUGUUGGGCCCUGCUCUUUCACUGCUGAGAUCAGAUCACCCCUGCCCCCGUAUUUCAAGAGCUGACAGUCUUGAGACAUGGCCAAGUCCUGCUUUGUAACAUCAUCCCCACCUCAGAAAUGUCAUGUAUGGGGAUGCAUUUGACCUAACAAUCCAAAUCUAGAAGUUUCUGUUCAAGUAAAACAUCCAAUAAAUUACCAGGGAAGCCAAGAGGUAUUGAUAAGACUAGUCACAUUUCUCAAAGAGGUUAUGCACAAAGAGGUUAUGCACAGGUGGACCUAUGGUGCCUACAUAAUGUCCAUUCUAACCACCUUAAUGCUGGUUAGGCACAGCAAACAUAAAACCAGAAAAAGCUGCAAAAUUCUAUAUGUGGUUCCUUGGCAACCAACUGCAGAAGCAUCUCCUGUUGAUUAUCACUCUAGGAAAAAACUCAUCCAGUUUGACUGGAGAGGGAAGUAUGGAGGGUUCCAGUCCAAUUUGACCCCCAUCCUUACUUCUCCUUUACCUCUGACUAGGUAGAGCAAAGAGAAAGCCAGGCAUUCAUUUCCAGCACUGGCCUUUAGCCUAUGGCCAGCCCACCCACUAGGAGGACCUAGGCAGUAGCUGGGUGUCUGCAGGUCACCCAGGACCCCCAACUACUGAGGGGCCCCCAGCCCCACCCUCCUUCUUUUCUUCAUUAUCUCCCUUACUCCAAGGGGCCACUGGGGAGAGGGGUGUACAUCACCUAGCUACGCCCCUGCAGCCAGCCUGCCCACCAGAGGCCACUCUAGCUGGCCAGUCCAUUGGGCUUUGCUCUCCUCCAGCCAGCCCACAUGCCAGGCUCAACUCUUGCCCACAUAACACAACAUGGCUCUGGCCAACCCACUCACCUGGUUUGGGGCUGGAACAUCUCAGCUGGAAAGUUGGCCCUGCCCCAUAUGGCCUUCCUGGGCCAGGUGGGCAAAGAAGCAGCAUCCAUGGGAACUCCACAGAUGGGACUUGACUCCCAAUAUACCUGCUGCCAUAGAUGCUUCUCCGUUUGUGAAACCAACAUGACUACCACUGAUCUCUCGCUUAGUCUGUCCAUAGAUUAAGUUUAAUGAAGAAAGUUCACAGUUUCUUACAGAGAGGGCUCCUUCCUGGCACUGACUGGAGACCUCCUUAAUUUGAACAACACAACCAGAUCAUGCCCUCAGACUAUUCUCUGCACACCAGAGUUGUUAUCACCUGCUUUUGUUGAGUCAAGUUUUGCCUAUGGGUAUUCAGAACAACUCCUGUAGCUGAUACUAAGAAGGAUACUUGAUGGAUUGUCUUGAGAUUCUGAGCAUUCUUAUUUCCAAGAAUUGCUUUUGGUCUGUGUAUGUAUGUAUAUAUGUAUGUAUGUAUGCAUACAAACGCAUCUCUCUGUGUUUCAUAUGUUAUAUGUAUUAUAAUGUCUAUUAUAGUGGCUGUUUUAUCAUCAGGUUUUUUAAUCAGAAUUAUGUCAGUCUAUUGCAACGUAUUGCUUUAUCUAUUAUACUAUAAUAGGUUUAGUCCAGUAUGCGAUAUAAUCAUUAUUCUCAAAAACUGGGUCAGGAUAUUUAUUUGUAACAAGAGGGCAGUUCUCAACUAAUUAGUUGGUAUUGCAUACCCAAUUGGUAGUGAAUGACUUUUGCAAUCUAACUGUAUUUGGCAAGAUAUUCUUAUAUUGGAUAAGCCAGGGCAGCCAGUUUUUUUAUUGUUUUUAAUUUAGAUUUAAAUUUGAUCAGAUAUCCGUAUCUUUUAUCUUCAUUAUAUAGUUAUUGGUAGCAAUUUGACUGGUUAGAAUCGCUGUGAUAAAACCUUCAUUUUUGCUUUAGGUUAUAUUGCUUUAGGUUGAUCUCCUUUUAGUCAUUACAUAGGUGAGACUACAUCCACAUUUCUGCUUUUAAGACUUUCUGGUUUUCUAUGAAUUGCUUUGAAAUUCCAUGUUUCAGUUCUUUUCUUUUAUUGUCAUUGACGCUGGCUGUAAUGAUGUGUCACUGAGGUUCAGAAAUUUUUAUUCCCUUGACCACCACUUUGAGAAUCAGACAAAUAGAUAUCUUGAAGUAGUUUAUGGGCUGGUUCCUGAGGUGCACCUAGGUAAUUUUGGAGCCUGGACCUAAAGGCCUUUGGAGGCCCUCCCUCCCCUGCAAAUUAAGAAUAAUUAUGCUCCACUGGGUGACCAAACCACCCAGGACAGACUAAAGAGGAUUUGGAGACCCCCUGCGGUUGUGGAGGCCCUGGACUUUGGCCCCAAAGUCCAAGGGUAAGAGCACCUCUGGCUCGUUCAGAUGACUUUUUAGUUGUGAACACAGCCUUAGAAAUUCCUGAUCCCACAUAUACUCUCCCUUCCUUAUCUCUUCUGCUCCUAUGCCAGAGGGAUUGUGCUUAAAACAAACCAACAAACCACGGCUCUGAUUGAUCAACUGUUGUUGUUCAACUGUAAUUUACAGGCCAUAAUUCUACCAGGAUGUGAAAGCAGAGUUGAAUCUUGAAUUUUCACAUCUUGGUUUCAUCAUUUUAAACAACAGUUUUAGGUUCAUCCAAGCUUUUAAGACUGAAUCCCAGCUGAACAAACCAUGGUUUCUUAGGCCAGCUGAACUGGAGAGUGCAUGUAUAUGUACUGUACCUCCAUCACUCUCUGCAAACCCAGUUUUUUUAAUCGUGAAUUGCCGCGGUGCGGCUGCAUGCCACAGCAACUCAUGAGGAGACCC